UACAGAGGUCUCAAGCGUUGUUCGGAUUCAUUGGGCGUAAAGGGUGCGUAGGCGGUUUGGUAAGUCUGAUGUGAAAUCUAUGGGCUCAACUCAUAAUCUGCAUCGGAAACUGCCGGGCUUGAGUGUGGGAGAGGUGAGUGGAAUUCCUGGUGUAGCGGUGAAAUGCGUAGAUAUCAGGAGGAACACCUGUGGCGAAAGCGGCUCACUGGACCAUAACUGACGCUGAUGCACGAAAGCUAGGGGAGCAAACAGG
rnacentral:rRNA from 1 species